ACGGUUUGAACGCUCUUUAGUCAGCGUAAGACAGAUCAAACCGCGGCCGUACAUAGCCAUGAAGUUAAUCGCUUCUGGCGUAACAUGUUCUGCUGCCAUGAUCA
rnacentral:antisense_RNA from 1 species